rnacentral:misc_RNA from 1 species
GAAACCGAACCGUGGCCACCCCUGCCUGGCAGUUCAAGUGUUCAAAUGACAUAUCACCAAAAGCCUUAGAAAACCAUGAAUAAUGUUUUAAAUGCCAUUAGGCAGGUGGUGACAUAGGUCAGUUUGCAGGACUGGUAUUUAGAUUGGAAUUUUACGCAAGGAAACAGUGAUGUAGAUCAUAAAAAUAAAUUCGAGCUUUUGGUUGAAUUUGGAGGAGAAAAGA